GCCAAAGAAGAUCAUCACAUAUAAUGACAGUCUAUAGAGAUAAAUGUCACAAAUAACAUAAAUGUCAUUAUUACAUAGCGGAAGUCUUACAAAAAUAAAUGAUAAUAAUAAGCGAACUAAGUAUUAUUCCUUGGCGUCACAAAGCUGGCUGGGAGACGCCACCUAGAGCAACUCAUACUCCUCAUUGUACAGCUCCUCCUAGACCACAUGUUCUUCUCCUGUGGGGGGUUAUAUAUAUCGCAAGGGUAAGCUCACAGAAGAUCAUAGCUCAACAAGUUGUGGGGAAUAAUGUGCAUGAACUCACCAAAGGUGGGAGUUCAUGUGAAGUGUAAGGCUGAUCAACAAUAGGGGUUAAAGCUGAGCAUUGCUUUUAAUAAGUUGGUCAAAUUUUAUUAGCAGUUACUAAAUAUAAGUAAAUACCAAACCAAAGUAAUAGUAGAUCAAAAUUAAUAAUAAAUCCCAAUGUGAUGCAAAUGACAAAUUGAAUUUAGUUUCAUAAUUUAAUCAUGCAAGAGCCUUUAGCUGCUCAUAACCGCGAGCACGACUAGUAUACCAAUUUUACCCUCUGCAGAGGUUGUGCCCUGUACCCACAAGUCGUGUAUCCCAUCUCGCCAGGGUUAGCUAGACCCUUAGACACUACCAAGGUGAAUGGCUAUGGAUCCAUUAUGAGGCCUUUACAAAGUUCCACUAGCUUCUGAAAACCCGCUACAGUUUCUUGGAAGAGCAAUGCAGGAAUCCCCCGUCUGACCGCCAUCGCAGCAAAAACAACCCAAGAACCUCCCUACACGCCUACUCCCCUACUGCCCUUGCCCCUUUUGGGUAAGGUAGUCCUCCACUAGCUUUCCUAGUUAGUCAGCCAAGGGCGUCCCAUUCCACCCUUGUGGUGGCACGUGUUUCUCAAGUUAAGCUCGAUGUUCCAAUUAACAUAGUUGUCUUAUCAUGAACCGAAAUAGAACAGUAAUAAAGAAUGAUCAACUAUAAUAGUUAUCUCAACACCCAAAACCAUGUAUAGCAAUAGCAAAGACUACCCAAAAAUUCAAGGGUAAACAAGGUAAAAAGAUAACCAGACUAGAGUGACCUAUUGGGUCCCAUCAAAAUUAAGUCUAUGCAUGAUAAAAUGAUUAUAAAGAACAUUAUUGGAUAAAUAAAAGUGGUCAAGGACCUCCAAUGAGCUCCUGCUCAGCAACUUCUACCUGCUAAACACCUAGAUCCUUAGUAGCUUCCUCGUCUACUCGCAACAGUACAAACAAACAUGGUAUAGCAGAAAUUAACAUCACACCAAACACAAAUACAUAAUACAUAAUAAUAAUCUACGCAUCGAAACGAGAACUAGGAAUAAGAUUCACUAAAUUUGGAGUUACGGAUUUUAAGUUAUGAUUUUUCGAAGUAUUUAUGUGUUUGGUACAAAAUUAAUUGAGUGAUCAAUUCUAAUGUGUCUUUCAUGUUAAAACAGUGGCACUAAGUGAUAAACAAUAUUAUUACAAAAUUAUAGGAACAGGAAUAGACUAAAAAGGAGUUAAAAUGUAUUUUCUAUGAAUUAAAGUUUCUGGAACAAAUUUUGCACUAAAAUUCAUUUUCUAUAUAAUUUUCUCCGAUUUUCCAAUUCCUUGGACAGCACGCAUAAUAAACGGAAAGCCCAUGGUCAGUCUGCAAAAUUCCCCAAGACUCAGAUUAUAGUCACACUGGAUGGCAGCUUUAUUUUUAAAUAGUCUAAGGACUCAUAUGAAAAAGUGCGUUCGCGAAGGGGUAUCGCUAGGUCCCGACAUACCGACUUCAUUUGACCGCUAGGAUUAGACCUACCCUCGGCUGAAUCGGUACGCGCCCUUGACCCUCCGAUCUACAACCCACGGCUCGGAUUUAAAUCAAUCAGAUUCAUUUCCAGUCAUCGGAUCCCAGAUCCACGGGCACGAUUUAAUUGGACGAAAGGUUAUCCAGUGAUCUAAUCUACGCCGUUCAAUCAAGAUCAGACGGCACGGACAACGUCUUCUCCAACAACUCACUUUUCCCCAGACGACGCCCACACCUCCGUCGAACCCGCCGCCGGCGACGGGCAAAUGGACCCGCUACUGCACUAAACAUCCAAUUAAAAGGUCCAACACGAUCGCAAGGAGAAAGCGAAACGAUUGGAAGCUAACUCACUGGAGAUUAGGCGUUGGUUGAGGUUGUUCACGCACUACGCGGAUUUGCGGCCACGAAUGAGCAACGACAAGGAAUUGCUGCUGUUCUGGUGAACCCCGAUCUCCCUGGUUGACACAACUGCGAGCGCACCCCCGCGGCGAAUCUCCUGCGCCCAACACCAGCAUCGAGUCACUGCCAAGGACGAGGAUGGUGGAGCGGCACUCUCCCACGACGCAAGAUUGAAUGGUGUCGAGUCGGUUAGCGGCUAGGGGAUUGUUGUCGCGAGGCGUUUCGGCCGGGGCGGACUCCUUAUACGCGUGGAAGUGGCUAGCGCACGCCGCCAACCACCCAAAACGCCCGGCGAGAUCG
rnacentral:lncRNA from 1 species